AGAUUGCUAGUUUUAUUAAAACCCAUAUAUUCAGCCGAAGGAGGCCUAUAGAUGGUUGGAAGUACAUGAUAGAGGAGAUUGGACCAAAUGCCAAGAAAGGGAAGGGCAGUGUUUCAAGGUUACCUAGCAUACCAGAUGCAUCAACUCGGCCUUUUAGAGAGGAAGUAACAUCAUUGGACACUACUUUCCCCUCUUAGUGUUUCAAGGUUACCUAGCAUAGCAGAUGCAUCAACUCGGCCUUUUAGAGAGGAAUUAACAUCAGCGGACACUACUUUCCCCUCUAAUCGGGGGAGGACCGGAAGGUAGUAUUUUUAAAUUUUUGUUCAUAGAACAGAGUGUCAUUGCGGAACUAUGGACAUCAAUUUGUAAAAUUAGUACUGAACUUGUCUUAGGAGGUUUUGUUGAAUUUAGUACAAAAUUCUCAGUAGGUCCACUAUCUUAAUAAACAUAAUCUAUAUAUUUGUGUUGGUAUAUUUUUCUCUUCGUUUUCUAUCUCGAGCUGAAUAUAACUUUAUCAUCAUUUUCUCGUUUAAUAACUCCAUCACUGACAUGAGCAGGAUGAAAUUCCUACUUUACUUUAAUAUAGAAGCUUAAACCAUUGCAACAAUAAGCACAAAGAGUAAUCAACUGCUGAUCUGUUCCUAUAAAAUAUUUUUAUUAAAAGAAUUUAGUUUGCAC
rnacentral:lncRNA from 1 species